UUAGUUCUAGAAAAUGCUCCAAAGCUACAGAGAAACCCUGUCAAAACAACAACAACAACAACAAAAAAUUGGGUAUUCUGGUUUACCUCUAAGCACUUUUUAUUUCUCUUCUGUAAAAUAUAGUGAAUUUUUAAAGUAGGGGCUUUCCAACUUACCUUUAAAUCCUCCCCUUCCCUUAAUCUAGUGACUUCUAUUUUAAGAUUUUAAUUUUAGUGGGACCUUUUCUAAGUUAAAACGUGAGCUAAAAUUUUUUUCUUUGACAAUUUUAUGUGGAAAAAAUAAAAUAUAGAGUUGGUAUGCUGAAUAAACAGUGGGGUUUCCAGAAGGAGUCAUCGAUUCAAUAACAGUGAAUUGCAGUUAUUUUGCACCAGCAUUUAAAGUUUGUUAUUAAAAUCUUAUUUUCUAUAAAAUAUUUAUUUAUUGAUUGUUUUACAGAUUUCAAGGCAUACCAUUUAGUGUGUUAUUUUGAAAAAAGAACCCAUUUCUAGAUGCUCAACAGAGAAAUUUUAACAGUGAAAAUUGUUUUCCACAGCCAAAAGAAAGGCUUAUAAGUCACAUAGGAAAUGACAUGGUAUCAUAGGCAAUUAUAUGGUAAUAGUAGACAUCUCUACCAUUCCUAGGUAGACAAUAGAAUUUGGUAUUAUCUGAAUUCAGGAUCUAGAUUUCCUGGUGGAUAUGGGACCACAGCAGGGAGGGACUAUUUGAUGGGAUUUAGUUUCUUUGGAGUUACUUACUCCUUGGUAAACUUGGGUCUAGGGAAUGUGGGCUCACUGUGAUUCUAAGAAGAGGGGAAAGGCAGUGAAUUUGUCUGAAUGUCAGAUGCCUUUAUUAAUGAGAACCAGUAGAGAUAUCAGCGGAGUCACAGGGAUGUAUGAGUUCUCAGAGUCAGAGCUGAGACAGCUGGCCUGUUGUCAGCGAGCAGCUGGUGAGCUGCUCCAGAACGGUGGCUGAUUGCUCUGAUUAUACUUUCCCCAUGGCUUAUUUCCGGAAGGUGCGCAGUAUCUAUCCAUAACAGACAUGAAGCUAUUUAGUGUCUAUAGUCAAGGUGUGAAACUCAACACUGACACAGCAAGCCAUGUUCAAUGUGGUGAUGCUCUCUUCAUCCUGGUAAUAUGGGAUCUGAAGAGCCCAUUGAGUAUUUGAGCACAUUCAUUCCUGAAAGAUGCAGACCAGGUGGAUUCAGCAGAAAGGGAUGCGGUGAUGCUAAGGUGCACAUUCCAUUUGUAGGCAGAAGAAGAAAGGUAGGAGGGCAAGGUCCAUGUUUAGCACUUUAUGGAUCUGGAUACGAGCUAUGGGGGAGAGCAUGAGCCAGGGUUCUACAGAUAUAUUACUGAAGAUGAGAAAAUUCAAGUGUGAACUUUGAUUGGCUUGAACAAUGGAACUUGAAAUUAAAGUCUUCGAGGAAAGAAAACAAGUCUUCAAGUUUUUGACAGCAUAGAAUUCAGAAGAGUUACUGUGGAUGGUUUCAGCAAAAUGUGGGGAAGGAAAAGGAGGAUCCAACCAGAAUCAGAAUGAUGACAUUUCCUUAAAGAUUAAUGCACACUUUGUAGUUUGUGUUUUUCAUUAUAUUUUAAAUGCUUGCUUCAUUCAAAUAUUUAUCCAAUGUCUAUUUUGUAAAAAAUAUAACAAUAAAAUGAGCAGAUGUGGUCCAUGCUCCUGAGAGUUUAUCAUCUGCAAACAUAUACUGACUAGGACCAGAACUCUAGAAAGAAAUACAUCUAAUAGGAUAUGAAGGGUCUCCCUGCAAGCAAGCAUAUUUGGGAGGAGUACCUAAUCAAUUUCAGGUAAGAAAAGUUGAAGACAUGGAAACAUAUAAAAUAGAACUUGUGUGAUAAGCAUUUGUUUUUCUGGAAAAACACAAUUGGAGAAAAUUUUUCAAACCAAAAAUGUUAACAUAUACCAAUUCUUACAGACAAAGAGAGAAUGAUGUUUUCAGGAUGGGAAAUUGAUUCAUAAUGUCAGGUGAGUAGAUAGUUACAAACACCGUGGCAAGAUAAGAAACCAGAGAAGUUAAAAGGGUAAAAUUCCAUAUUUUACUCCAUAAGCCAUUUUGAGAAACUUGCAUUUAACAUAUUCAUUGGCUCCCCGUUUGACAAGUAGUUUUGGGGUACCUUAGGUACACAUAGUUACUUUUCUCAUUACUGUUAACCAAAUAUCUGACAAACAUCAGCUCAAGAAAAGAAAGGUUUAUUCUGGUUUAUGGUUCAGAAGAGUCUAUUAUAACUGGGAAGGAUUGACUGUGUGAGCGUCCCCUUGCUGUGGCCACAGGAACUUUUUCACAUUCCAGUAAGAUCUACGGAGAUGAAGGAGACGCUGGCACUGGGUUGGCUCUUUCCUUUUACCUUUGAUUCAGUCUCGGUUACUGAUUCAGGGUGGGUUUUCUCUUCUGAGAGACCUCUCUGGAAAUGCUCACACAGACAUGCCCAAAUGUGCAUCUCAUUAAUCAGUGUUUCUUUAAUCUCUGAGAGGUUGGCCAUUAAAAAUUAACCCUCAAAACCUGUGCGCUAUAGAAGACUGGAAUAGAUGAUAGGUAGGAAUAAUAAUCACCGUAGAAUGAGAGAAGCCAAUCCUCUUGCCUCACGGAACCUACAGUCUGUUCAGGGAGUGGGGUGUGUGUGUGUGUGUGUGUGUGUGUGUGUGUGAAAGGUCAUCUUAUUUCAUGGCAGCUUCAAUGCCAGAGCAUCGUUACUAACAAACGGCUGCCUUGGAAACAGUAGUCGAGGCACUUAGAUUGAUUUUACCAGUGGGGAUCAUAACGGCAGAGAAUCAAAGUGGAGAAGCUGUUGCAGAAGUUAAGACAUUAACUCAAGACCUGUCUACAGAUACCAGAGGAGAGAAGAUGGAAGAAGGGAGCUCUAAAUAAGCCAAGAGCCUGUGCCAAGAGCUGGAAGCUCAGCAGAAGAGACCUCAACUGCAGACAGGAAAGGAUAUCUCCGUGGCUAAAGAAGAAAAGGUUUGGAACCCUAGGCAGGUCCCAACAUCAGUAGGAGGGAACAUUUAGAAGCAGGGAUGUCCAAUCUUUGGGCAUUGCUGUAUGAUGCUGUCAUUUGCACUUAUGGAUUGAUUACAUCCAGUUACCCUGGGAUAAUGUAGCCUGAAGACUGCAGGUUGGCCCCACCUGAUAGAGCAUUGAUUAUUGGACAUAAGUAUGAAAAAAAUAAAUUGAUUCUCUGUAUACAUAUUAGAAACCAAUAUUUAAGUGUAAUUGAGGAAAAGUCUUGUCAAUAAUAAAACUAAAGAUAUAAACAGCCAGCAUAUACGGACCAGCAGCAGAGCUUCCACUCUGAACCAUUUUAUAGAGCUUGUCCUUUAGGCUAGGGCUGUUUUUCACUUGGCUAGCCUAUUUCUAGAAACUUCACUCAGUGUGCAGUUUAUAACUAAUUGAAAUGUUUUCUCUCCUUCUGGGCUUCUGGGUCCAUUUGUGCUCCAGUUACAGAAAGGGAGGCAGCUCUGUCAGUGGCUGCUGGGUCAUGUGCAGGGAAGCACAGCCUUGCUUCCUGGGUUCCUGUAGCCAGGCUUUUCCUACCACAGUCCCGGAGAGCAGCAGCACCACCCGAGUCUGCUUUAAUACUGCUGUUCCUGUCCUCACUAUUGCUGGAUCUGUUCCUAGCAUGUCUUUCCACUAGCAGGAUUCUCGAUGUUUAAACUUCUUCACACUCAAAAGCUCAUUUGUUUCCCCCUCUUUCAAGAUGGAUUUCAAUUCUGUACAUAUUGUAUCUGGAAAUUUUCCGAUUCUGUAGACAUCCAUGUGGGUUUUAUAGCAUACUGGUCACAAUGAACACAUUGUCAUCAGAAAAGGUAAGGUGCAUGAACUUUCCAGAAACUCUCCAAACCUUAGUUAAAUGACCAAAUAUUCUAUUUUGAUAUUACCAUAUCACACUUUGGGAAUAUUUAAAAUGUCACGUUCUUUCAGCAUGUACAUGAAAUUUGUUUACCAGGUUUCUUCCCAAGCUGAGUGAAUCUGGACACUUUCUAACAGAACAAAUCACACACACAAAAGGAAGAUAAAAUGCCCACAUCCAGGUCAAGUCAAGUAAAUAUUGUCACAAGUGCUGCUGGAAUUGAGGAGCGAGCUCUGAGCUUACAAAAACUAUGUUUGCAACACAGUUCUUCUAAUUAGUCGCUAUGGGACCUUAGGUAAACCCAAUCCUUAUUUUUGUCGUAUGACCGGGACAAUGGUUUCUGCUUUAUGCCUUGAUUUAUUUGUCCAUUUAUGACCAUAUUUACUGAUUAUGCAAGAAUUACCAAGUGCCUGUUAUGGGAUGGGUGUUUUGUUCAGGAAACUCAUUCAUUGCUCCUGACCAGACAGAUUGUUGUACAAAUCAAGGGAGACUACUAUAUGUUUUAAUUGGUGUUCUAUUGCUAUGGUAUCUUUGAAAAGACACCAUAGUAACUCUUAUAAAGAAAAGCAUUUAAUUGGGGCUUGUUUAUAACUUCAGAGAUUUAGUCCAUUCUUAUCAUGAUGACAUGCAGGUAGACAUGGUACUGGAGAAAUAGUUAAGAGUUCUACAACUGGAUCAUCAGGCAACUGGAAGAGAGAAACGCUGGUCCUGGCUUGAGCUUACGAAACCCCAAAGCUCACCCCAGUGAGUCACUUCCUCAAAGAAAGCCACACCUACUCCAACAGGCUCACACCUCCUAAGCCUUUUCCUUAGUGACCAAGUAUUUGAAUCUAUAAGUCUGUGUGGACCAUUCUUAUUUAAACCACCAUAUGUACUAAGGGCUGUCAUUUUCCAAGGUCACAUGAUGCAAUCUAGGCUUCUUGUCAUCUCAUUGCUUAUGCAUCAUGGAUCAGCUUGCGUGGACUUCGGUCAGUCUUCUCAUAACCUCACUCUGGGUGCUUACUGUUGCUGAACUAUGCAUGAUAUAACCAAACUCACAUUCUUGGUAGCCCAGACCAGUCGUCCUAGAUUCUUCGGAGGCGAAAGCAAGAGGAUAACUUAGUGAGAAUCUGUCUCAAAAUUUAAAAGAAAGCGAAAGGGGGACAAAAUAUAAGAGGAGAACAUUUGCUUUGACUCACAAUUUGAGGGUACCAGCUGUCAUAACAGGGAAGGUGGGUCACACAGGAGGGUCACACAGCUAGUCACAUUGUGUCCACAGGUAUGAUUGACAUAUAGAAAAAUGAGGGCUGGUGCUCAGUUGACUUUCCUUCCCCUCCCCCAUUUAUUCAGCCUAGGACCAGGCUCAUGGCAGGGUACUGCAUUUUAAUUCCUCAGCUAAAGCUGCCUGGGAACACUCACAGAUGGGUGCAGGGAUGUGCUUCCUAUGUGAUCCCUUUAGUUAACCCAAGAGUGAGCAUGCCCAUCACAGCCCAGGUUGCAGCUCAGUGGUUGAACACUUACCUAUCAUCUGAAAGGCCCUGAGUCCUACCCUAGUACUAUGAAACAAAACUUGACAAGGCACAAAACUCAUUGGGAUUUAAAUCAAGGGGAUUCCAGUUCAAAGUCUCUGCUUUUCAUUGGAAACCUUCAUAUAGGGACCCUUCUACUCCACAGACCUUCACGUUGUCCAUCAAUUAUUUACUGUUACUGCCAUCAAUACUCAUUUGUGGUGCUGUCAACACAGACUGAAACGCAAACUAGCAAACCAGAAGUGAUCUAGUUGGGCUUCUGUAGGGAUUCUCACUUAGAUGCUCUUGGGUUUUGGAUUGCAGCUUGACCCUUCUGCCUCUCUUCCCUCCGGGCCCAUCUCACUGCGGGUCUUUGCAGGUUGUGACUGGACUGUUGGUAAGCAUAUUAUUUUAACAGAGAAAAGAAAUGAUUUCAUUGGAGAAUCACCAUGUCAAGAAGGUUGUGUACCUUCUUGAUGCUGAAAAUGCCAGUAUUUCAUAAAAAGGCAAAAGCCUUCAUUUCGAAAGGUUGAAUAUAAUGUUAUUUAACUAAUUUCAAAUGGCUACCUUUAGGUCACUGGAAAAGUCUAAAUAUAAGAACAGUCUCUGGAGUCUGUAACAUUUUCAUUUGAUGCAAGAAUGGCUAAAUUUUAAGUCAUUUUAACCUCUUGCCUUUUGAUAUUUGGCUUCUCUGACAGGAAGUGUCUGUCCACUGCAAGCGAUUUGAAGGAGCAGAGGGGCCUCCUUAAUCAAGGAUCAGUUUCCAUUACAUUCUUGGGAGUUAAGCACCAGGAACACACACUACUUUGAUGUGACUCACAGUGAUGAAAAAUUCUCAGAAGAAUAAUUUUUCAUUUGGGUUCCAAUUAUGUACUGACGUGAGGAUCAUUAAACAAUGCACUCAUUAGAGAAAACCAAAAUGUGAUCGUCAUGGGUUCUUGCGCCUACUUCACAUGCUGCCAAGGGAAGCCCUGAGCGGAUUCAAAGGGGGCAGGAUUCUCUUGUCGUCCUAGCUGUCAUUGCUAAUGACACAUAAUAGGAAUCUGGACAUCUGCUGAACUGAAAACAAGUGCCAGCAGGUGGCCAUGCUAUGAGAAAGGAUGGUGGAGCAGAUCUUCCAUUCCGGAGAAAGACUGUCACACCCCAGCAGUGGUUUCCGUCGUUCUGGAUCAAGUCUCCAGUGAGGUUUUCUUUUGAAACUUUUUUUUUUUUCUGAUAGAAGCAGUUUGUGGACCAGUGACGAUAAAGUUUUGAUGGAAAGUUGGUGAUGGAGGAACUGGGAGUGAAUUGGCAUAGAGAGCGAAGCAGGGAGAGUGGACGGCCCAGAGGACUACCCGUGCUUCUUCCGUGAGCUGUGGCUUCCGUGUCUCCACUUUCCUAGCUCCUGUCAUCUGGGAACUAGGGGAAAUUUAGCAGCGUAAUCAAGACCAACUAAGAAAGGUUAGCCACGGUCAAAGGAAAUUGAUGAAGAGUGGCUAUUAAGAGAUGGAGCCUAUGUACGCAGACUACAGUUAAAUAACGAUUUAAGAACUUGCUUCUGUGUGGCUCACACACACAAAUGUUGACUUGGUGUAUGAGUUGACUUUAAUAAAGGCAGGUUUACUUUGGAGAAGGAUCGCCAGCAUCAGAUAUUUCACACGAAUAAGGGACCAGGAGCUGGAUCUCCCAUCCACUCUUCUUUGUUUGGCUUAUUCGUUAAAAUGGCUAAGAAAAUGUGACCACCCAUCCCCCCGGCACACACACGUACACACAAGAAUGAGGGAAAUAAAACCCUUGAAAAACAAUAUGAGAAUCACUCUCACACUGCUUUCUACUUCAGACUUAAGAUAAUUCGAAUAUCUUUGCUGAGCCACGUCCCAAAUACAGGCAGUUUGGUGAGGCUCACACAUGUGUAACGUCAUCACCACUGUCAACAAAGCCGAGCUUUCUCUCCCACUGUGUCUCUUUCUGCUCAGAAAAAAAUUAAAUAGAUAAAUAAAGAAGGAAGGAAGAAAGGAAGGAAGGAAGGAAGGAAGGAAGGAAGGAAGGAAGGAAGAGUGACUUCUGAGGGUCUAUUCAUUGACUUGCAUAGCCAGAUGGUCCAAGCAUUGCUUAGUUUUUCUGUAGGUUUGUUCAUUUGGGACUUUCUAUACUCUGAUCCUCAUGUUUAUACAAUCCCCAGGUUGCCUUCUGUAAAAUGUCUGAAGCAGUUGCUCAGACCCCCAUUAGCCCAACACACAAAGGAAAGAACAUGAGGAUGCUCUUUUCUAGAAGUCUCUACUGAGUGUCAUUCUGUGAUCCAAUGUUUUAACUGGGGCAGCGUUAUAUAUUGGCAAGCCAUAGGCUUACUGGGCUGGGGCGAAAUUGAAUUGAAAUUGUUUGCCAUGAAUACCAGAGCUUAUAUCUCUAGAAACCUGUAAAUAUUAGGCUUGUGUGGUGGUCUGCCACACACUUCACUGUGCACUUAAGAGGAAAAGACAAGAAAUUCCUGGAGCUAGGCAGAUUGGUGAACUCUGGGUUCAAGGAGAUAAUCUACAACAACAUAUAAUGUGUUGAUAGUGAUUGAGGAAGAUGAGCCUAUGUUAACCCCUGACCCUUUCAUACCUACAUGCACACACAGACACAGGCACACCACACACACACACACAUACACACACACACACAGGCAAACAUAUGAGCAAAACCUUCAAGGAGGAUUAGGUGGAUUGGCAUUAAACUUAAGAUAUUGUCUGGUCAGCGUUCUGUUGCGCUGAGGAGACACCAUGACCAUGGCUACUCUUAAAGAGGAAGCUUCCAGGGGCUAGUUUCCAGCUUGAGAGGUUUAGUGCAGUCUCAUCAUGGCAGGGAGCAUGGUGGCAUGCAGACAGACACGUUGCUGGAGAAAUAGCUAAGAACUCUACAAACAGAUCCGCAGGCAAUAGGAAGAGAGAGAGCCACUGGAUAUGGCUAAGUCUAAGUCUUCUUCCAACAAAACCACACCUCCUAAUCCUUCCCUAAGUAUAUAAAUAUAUGAAUGUAUGGAUGUUAUUUUUAUUCAUACGACCACAGAUAUAUAUUCAGUUCCUAGGCCAGACUAAUUCAGUUUCUUCCCAAACAUACACACUGUGUAACAGAGGUGUCUAUGCAUGAAAAAGUCUGAGGCAUCACAAGAUGAUAGUGGGUAGGUGCUUAGGAAAGAGCCAUUGCCUGCUGCAAAAUAUCAGCUUGUUUUUCAGUUUAGCCCUUUUUAAAUUGUAGUCUGUUCUUCCAUUGUUCUUAAUACUGUAAAUCAUUCAAUAAAAUUUAAUCGGCA